UUUGAAAGCACUACCCUGAACAAGCCCAAUCCUGUCUCAUCUCAGAAGCUAAGCAGGGUUGGACCUGGUUAGUACUUGGUUGGGAGACCAUGUAGGAAGACAAGGUGCUGUAGGCG
rnacentral:rRNA from 1 species